ACAACAUUUAGGGUGUCGGUCUACCGAGGAAUUUCACUCGCUUGGUGGAAGACCUUUCCUCCGUCGU
rnacentral:pre_miRNA from 1 species